rnacentral:rRNA from 1 species
UACGGGGGGAGCAAGCGUUGUUCGGAUUUACUGGGCGUAAAGGGCGCGUAGGCGGCCACCGCAAGUCACUUGUGAAAUCUCCGGGCUCAACCUGGGAAUUGCGAUGGAGACUGCAAGGCUAGAAUCUGGCAGAGGGGGGUAGAAUUCCACGUGUAGCAGUGAAAUGCGUAGAGAUGUGGAGGAACACCGAUGGCGAAGGCAGCCCCCUGGGUCAAGAUUGACGCUCAUGCACGAAAGCGUGGGGAGCAAACAGG